rnacentral:lncRNA from 1 species
UCUUCUCCAAUAUAUUUAUGUCAUGUCAAAAUAGUCAAAACAUCACAUCUGUCAUUUUCCUUUCUUGUGCACUGUCACUGCACCUCCAUUUUCACUCCACGUGGUAACUCUUCUGCUUCCAAAGCCAUUCGGGAUCUUCCCAACUUCUCCUUAAAUUCAAUCUUCAAUCUUCAGAUCAAACCUAGACCCCAGUCAAAUUCAAUGCUUCAACCUUCAUGAAAUAUUUUCACCUGUUUGCUACAGCAAAAGCAAUAAGGACUCAGCUGGCUGAGGUGGCUUUUUAAUUUUUGAAGUGUCCAAUUAUGCAGCAGGAGAAAUUAAAUUACUUUCAAGUAUAAAGCAAGCAGCUUGAAAGGAAAUGAAGAUAACUUGAGGAGGGAAAGGUCAGAGUUCAAUUUCCAGGUUUUUUAAUAGAAAUGCAAAGCACAAAGAAGUACAAACAAUGGCCAGCAGAACAGGUCAAAUAUGUAUAAAAUGAGGGAAUGUGAUGAUAAUGUUUCUUAUUUCAUUUUUUAAUGCUCUUGGGGUUCUUUAUAUGUCAACGUCUUCAACCACUUUCUAGCUAGAUAACUUGAUAAAUUGAACCUUUCCUUCCCUAUGGAAAACAGUUUCUGGAACAUAACUGGGGACCCAUUUUGAGUAAAAUAGCUGAAAAUCAUCUAUCCUGAAAGAAAAAAUUAUGGACCUUUGAUAUAGGUGCUUGUGAGAACCCUUUGUUUGUUUACCUUUCCCACUCCAUUUUUUUGCAUGAACAUCUUCCACUUAGUAUUUGCAUUUCCACAGGGAUUACUACUGUGACAGUAGCUAAUUUAAAGUGGACUCUACCUUCAAUGAGAAAAAAGUUGCUUUUGCAGCUGAGGAAUUUAGCCCAGUGGUAGACCGAGGUAUGUUGUAAGAGCACAAGAGGCUCGAUGCUGCUUGUGCAGCCACAGCAAGCUGUGAGACAGACAGAUCCUCAGCAUGAGCAAGGGAAUUUCUGGAAAAUUCCUUUUUUCCAGAAAACAGCCCUCUGCUGCUCCCGUCAUGGCCCAGAGACAGCAGGAGAGAGUUGGUGCUCAGGCCCUGGUGGGGGUGGGAAGGAGAGUGCUCAAUGAUCACCUGAAAAACACUGUGUGCUGUUCUGCUGGAAAUCACAACCACCAACACUGUUUUAAGCUGCAUUUCUGAAGUGCCCAAAAUGCGGGAGUUUCGAGUCACCUCUGCCUGCCCUGCAGCACCUUGCUGUGCCCCAUGAGGGGGAACCCAGCCAGCCUUUACCCUGCCUGCAUGUAGCACACCAGGCUCUCCUCACAGCUCCAGCCUGCAAAAACAACUUGUUUUGCAUAUUGUGCUAAAGUGUGAACACAGCACUCCCCAGCUGGGCAAUAAAAUACUAGCAGUGAAAGCAUAAGCCUGGAACUGGAGAAAAAGCUUCAAAAUUCUGCUGCCUCAAGGUGAAUAAUGAGAAACUAAUUGAAACUCACACUCCAAAUAUAUUAUUUAAACUCUGUUUGCUUUUCUUAGUAUGAGUGAAGUGAUCAAAUCUCUCAUUUACAAUUUUCAGCUAAUCCUUCCACAUAUGCAUUAGACACUGUAAUCCUUUUCAUAGAUGGAGUCUAAUACUUCCUUUCUAAUUCACGGAUGAGUUUUCUUAAUUGAAAAAAUUAGGAUAAAUUGCUCCACUUAUGUGGACUAGUUAUUGUCUUAAAUAAUAAUCACUGUCUGUAUUCCAUCACAGUUUAUUCUGCUACCAAGCACCCUGUUUUUUUAUUAUUUUAUUGGAAAUACCUCUCCUGAGGUCUCUGGAAAUGAGAAAAACAAUGCUUUUAUAACAAAUAUGUUUAGGGAGUGUUUUUUACAGUCUGUUCUAUUCACUCUGCAGCACAUUCUAUUUACUGCAGUUCAGGCCUGAUCUCAGAAAUCUUAUAGUGCACAUAUUAAUCUGUCUCUGAGAAACAGAGAAGAAUGUAAUAAAGUGAAUCUCUGUGUAUUUCUAUAGAACAGUAUAAAAUUCUUUUUUCCAUUUUUACUUUGUCGGAUACAAUUCCAGGUAAAUAAAUGCACUAAUAAUUGCAUUUGAUGCAUGAUUAUACUGAAUGUCAUGUCACACUCUUUAUGUGACUCAGAUAAAGUAGCAUGAAGCCUCCUCUCCCCUUACAAAGCUACAUGGCAUCAACCACUAGGCAGGGACAGUAGCUGUCAGGGCUCUUUCUGUGAAAAUAUUACCUUACUGCCACCAGAUCUGUUCAGUUUUGCCUUCUAAAAGAGGUGUAAAUUGUUCAAGGGCAAAAAUAUUAUUAAUAAGAGCCAGCUUCUUCUGAGACUCAAAGUUUAUCAUUCCAGUUCUUCGUACAAGACUCCUUCAGCAGCUCUAAGCAGGAAUGUCUGCUUUCUUAUUUUUUUCCUAUCUUAAAUGAUACAUCUAGGCAUUUAUUAAGGAAUAUACAGAUAUCUGGGAAGCACUGGAACAUCUCUGCCCUGUAAUGGUACAUUUUGGGCAACGCAUACCAACUGUGAUUGACUACCUCUCACAUUACAGCUCCUCUCUGCUUACAUUAGACAUAAUUUAAUAAAGAUAUUUAAAAAGUAAUAAUGCAUGUCUUGUAUAUACAGAUUAAUAACUCGUGCCUUUUAAUGAUUUAGAUUAUAUUUGGCAUAAGAGAGUUGACCUGCAAUGUCUUUCUUGGCUUUGAUACCAGUUAUGUAUUUUCCCAUUGAAAAUUAAGCCCAUUUAGGCUGAGCUAAAUGGAACCCGACUGUUUGAUCUAAAGAAAUACUGUGACCUUUUACACUGAGCUGAAGAAAACAAUCAUCAUUCCUCACUCUUAAAUUCUAUCAAAAAGGCUCUGUGUUGUGAGGAGGAUUGCUUGAGGUGCUAAAGGCUUGUUUAUUUCAUAUUUAUAUUAAUUCCUCUUCAUUUAAUGACUUUGUAGCAGCUUGAUUAGCAUGAUGAGUAUAGUUUGGAAAGGAAAGUUGGUCCUUCAGAAAAGAUACCGAUGUGAAUUGCAAGAGAGAAUUUCAUCUCUAACUCAGCUGUUCAUUUUUUGUUAGUUCAUAAAUUCAUUCAGAUUGUGUUCUCAAUCAGUAAAAAGAAGACAAAUUCAUCUUGCCUUCACCUCGUUCUGCCUUAAGUUUGGGAGUUAGACAAACCGUAGGGCAACGGGGCCCUUGGCACUGCAAGCACUACUGUUGUAAAAACUGUUUUCUUUUGGCUGGUAUAUUUUGAUGGCAGAUAAAAAGCAGUUAGUGUCUGUGGUAAUUCUGAAUUAUACAAAUGCUAAAGUUUUUAUCAAUACCAGGACAUUUUUAUUAUAACAUUAGUAGCAAACAACAAGCUAUUGUCUUUACUGCUGUGAAAAGUGUUCUCUUUCUCUUUCUGCGUCCCUAUUUCUUUGAUUCUCAGUUCACCAUUGCAGAAGAAAUAUUACCCUCCAUGACUACAGUGAGUAAUCUUCCUUACGUAGUUUUUGCUCUGUAGUAUUUUGGCAAAAUUUGCUAAUUCUCUUUUUGUUUCAUCUGUCUUUGUGCAAGGAAUAAUUUCCCUGCAAAAUUGAACUCAGACAGGGAAUUACAGAGCUUUCAUCUGCUGAGACUGGGAAAAGUGAGCUCUUCAAGAAACAUCUUCUACAUCACGUUUUUUUUUUUUUAUCACAUCCUCUGUGAAUAUUAGCAUCUUUCAGGAGGAAGGAAAGGACUCUGUAGCAGGCACUGUAGGAAAGGGUAAAACAAGAGUCCAGCUGCGACCUUCUUCCCACCCUCAACUCUGCCUAGCCUUGGGGACCCCUUUGCAACAUCCAUAAGGAUGUAGGAUAAGGACCAGUGAUAGAGAGGAAUCAGCUGAAGAUGCAAAUGACAGAUAGGAAGAAGCAGAUGAACCAAAGAUUCAGGGAUAUCUGUAGUACUUGCAACAGCUACAGCUGGAUUUCUUCUGCCCAGUGCAGGCUGGGCAGAUACCUCUGCUCUCUCUCUCACUUACUGAAAAUGUCCUUGCAGAUGUGCAUGUCACAUUAGAUCUCUUCCCACCUUUUCUCUAUUUCCCACCAUCAGCCAAAAGGCUUAUAUACAGUAAAAAAACCCUCUUCACUAGUUCACAUCUAUACAGAACUUACAAGUCUUUUCUUUAAUCCUUUUAUAUGCUUUACUCUUACUUCAUUCUUUACCUUUUCCUGCUAUAAUCUGUAUUUUACCCACAGGGAUUAGCUGCACCUCUGCACACAGUGAGAUUCUAACACUGACUGGUUUUCAUCAUGAACAGAUUAAGCACAAUGAGUGACAUUAAACAGAGUAGUGAAGGCUAUGGCAGGUUGAGGAGCUGAGAGAGCUGGCUGAGCACAGAUGCUCUUGUGCAGAAUGACGAAAGCAGCAGCCUCUCAGCCCAGGGACACGGCAUGCACGCUGCUGGAGGAACAGUCAUGACACUGCUGGGCUGUCUGUCCUGUCACACCAUGCUGACUGUUAGAGAGCAAGCCAAUAAAUGAUGGCAGAGCUGAGAGUCAGUAAGUGACCCAGAGGACUACUCUGAUGAUGUCCAUCACAAAAAGUUAUGCUUGUACUGAGCAACUUUACAGCAAAGGAGACAUCAAAUGUGUCACUUCUGGACUUAGUCAGUGCUUCCCUAACUAACUCAGGAGCAAACUUGAAAGCAAUCCUGCUGAUUCAGUGGCAUAGCAAUUUGCUCAUUGUUCCAAAUGUAGAUCCCUCACAUGCUAACAUAAAUAUACCCACAGGGAUGAUUUUUAAAAUGUCUACCUCUUCUACUGAGGGUUCACUUACAAAGUUGGCUGAUAUUACUGCAUAAAAAGAGAGCCUGAUUCUCUUCUCACAUACACUGAUUAUAGGCAAGAGGAAUGCCUUUGGCUUGAAUGGAUGUAUUUCUAAAAAUCCAUUUCACAUUCAUUUGUGCAUCUUUAACCUGAGUCUGAUAGCUGAUAUAAAGACAAGGCAGCAAAAAAAAAAAAAAAAAAAAAAAAAAAAAAAA